CACUCUUUAGCACCAUUCUAGACUUACUGAUUGCAGAUAGUACUAAAGAUACUAAAGUGGAUCAACCUGUCAACUAUGUUCACACUUGUUGAGAUUGUUUGAAGGAACCGAAGCUGACCUCCAACCUAAUUUGACUUAACUGCUUGUCUUGGGGCUUGGUAUACACUGGAUCGGAUUCCUCCUUCAGGUCUGAAAGGUAAAAGUCUGAGUGAUUUUGGUUUCCUUAUCUCCUCCCUUUGGCAUCCUAAUAAAAUAAAAUAAAAGAUUGAGAUGAUUUCUUGCGGUUUAGAGGGGUAGGUACAUUACCGAUGACCCCAUUAUUCUACUCUAAUAGAAUGAUCACACGUUGUUGGAAGCGAGGGGUAGGUACAUUACCGAUGACCCCACUAUUCGCCUACACUUUGUCAAGGAAAAGAAAAAGAAAAAAAUAAUAAUAAUAAUAAAAAAUCGAAAAGAAGGUGAAUAAGAUGGACUGCAUCAGCAUCUUUGUUCAUUGGAAUUGAGAUAAAAAGGAUUCGGAGAAGGGAGAUAUAGAAUAAAAGAAACCAGAACAAGACUACCUGUUUACUCAGAUACCUGUUGGGGUAAGAGUCCAUGUGUCUUGUGAUCGAUACUCCCAAGGUAAAGCAUACACAUUUAUUUAUGUUAAGAAAUGAGGUUGGUAGAUGGGAAUAUCAGACAUGAUUUGCUAAGAUGUUGGCUAGGUGAAUUUGGUUGCUAAGCUAGGAUAUUGUAUAAUGUGCUUCUGUGAUUAGGACUUCUUAGAUGUGCAUUGCAAUAUUGUAGAGGUGAUGAUUCUAAG
rnacentral:lncRNA from 1 species